rnacentral:rRNA from 1 species
AGCAGCCGCGGUAAUUCCAGCUCCAAUAGCGUAUAUUAAAGUUGUUGCAGUUAAAAAGCUCGUAGCUGAAUUUCGGGGUCAGUAGGUCGGUCGUGCCACAGGUAUGCACUGGUCUCACCGAUUCCUCCUUCCUGAUGAACCGUAAUGCCAUUAAUUUGGUGUUGCGGGGAAACUGGACUGUUACUUUGAAAAAAUUAGAGUGUUUAAAGCAGGCUAACGCUUGAAUACAUUAGCAUGGAAUAAUGAAAUAGGACGUUCGAUUCUAUUUUGUUGGUUUCUAGGAUUGACGUAAUGAUUAAUAGGGAUAGUUGGGGGCAUUAGUAUUCAAUUGUCAGAGGUGAAAUUCUUGGAUUUAUUGAAGACUAACUACUGCGAAAGCAUUUGCCAAGGAUGUUUUCAUUUAAUCAAGAACGAAAGUUAGGGGAUCGAAGACGAUCAGAUACGUCGUAGUCUUAACCAUAAACUAUGACGACUAGGGAUCGGAUGAUGUUAAUUUUUUAACUGUACUCAUUCGGACGCC